ACCUGAGAACCCGAAAGAUCGAAUGAGGAGAUUCAUCGUCAGCGUGAUUAGUUUCCAUGCGUUUCGCGAUGAAGAUGGAAUUUAUUUUAAAUUCACGCAUUCGCUGUGGUAUAUCUGAUUAUGUCGGCGUGCACUUCUCCUCUAGUAGAACGUUGCGACCCGCUGGGUGUUGGCUUAAGGACCAAGCUGUAGACUGUUUUUGUUCGUUUACGCGUUCAUUGACAGACACUUGUGUUUCUGGCUGACUGCUCGGCGGUACACACAAGGUAUUGAGCCGCACAUUUUGAAUGCGUUCAGACUCGUUUACAAGCUAAUUAUUGAAUAACUUGAGGGUGCGGACCUAGUGCCGUCCUUAAGGGUAGUUGGCUGUUGGUUGACGAUGUUCUCGAACUGGCUAAAACUGAAUUAACAAUACCGGUCAGCGACGCUAUUGCUUUGGGUACUUUCAGGACCCGUCUUGAAACACGGACCAAGGAGUCUAACAUGUGCGCGAGUCAUUGGGAUAUAUUAAACCUAAAGGCGCAUUGAAAGAGAAGAUCGACCUUGUGUUGAUUGAGGGAGGAUAAGUAAUUCUUAAAAAAUUGCUUCGCACUCCCGGGGUGUCUCUUAAAGUCAUUGCGACUUGAGGCGCACCCAGAGCGUACACGUUGGGACCCGAAAGAUGGUGAACUAUGCCUGGUCAGGAUGAAGUCAGGGGAAACCCUGAUGGAGGUC
rnacentral:rRNA from 1 species